AACCUGAUGCUCUCUUAUAAACUGAAAGGAUAAGAUAUUGAACAAGUACUGAAGCAACAGACUUCACAACAUCAUCAUCACCAUAAACAUGAAAGUGACUCUUGUUAUCGUCGCUCUGCUGGCGCUUGUUGCGAUUGCUUGGGGACAAGAACCCGAGUGUGGUCCCAACAUGGUUUUUUCAAAAUGUGGUGCUCUCUGCGAACCAAAGUGUUCUUACAAACGACCUGCCGGAUUUUGCAAACUGCAGUGUAGGGCUAAAUGCGUUUGCAUUUCAGGAUAUAUACUUGACGACCAUGAACGGUGUGUUCCUAUUGAAUCAUGCUAAAUGGAUUUUGUUUUAUUAUUCACUGAACACUGUUAUUAGUAGAGAAAUUUGUAUGAUUAUCUUAGUAAUAAUAAUAAUUAAUAAAUUAGAAAACAAAUAAAUGAGGUAUUAUUUUUAACACAA